GCCCUUGCGGAUCCGCGGCCGCUGCAGAGUUUGAUCCUGGCUCAGAACGAACGCUGGCGGCGUGCUUAACACAUGCAAGUCGAACGGACCUUUAUUUGAAGGGUAACUGGAUUAUAGAGGUUAGUGACGCACAGGUGAGUAACACGUAGGCAACCUAUCCUUAAGAGGGGGAUAACUCAGGGAAACUUGAGCUAAUACCGCAUAAGACCGCGAACUGGGAUGUUAGUGGUAAAAGGAGAAAUCUGUUUAAGGAGGGGCUUGCGGCCUAUCAGGUAGUUGGUGAGGUAAUGGCUCACCAAGCCUAAGACGGGUAGCCGGUCUGAGAGGACGGACGGCCACACUGGGACUGAGACACGGCCCAGACUCCUACGGGAGGCAGCAGUGGGGAAUAUUGCACAAUGGGCGGAAGCUGAUGCAGCGACGCCGCGUGGAGGAAGAAGCCUUCGGGUUGUAAACUUCUUUUAUAGGGGAAAAUAGUGAUGGUACCCUAUGAAUAAGCCACGGCUAACUCUGUGCCAGCAGCCGCGGUAAGACAGAGGUGGCGAGCGUUGUUCGGAAUUACUGGGCUUAAAGGGCGCGUAGGUGGUGAUACAAGUCUGAGGUGGAAUUCAUAAGCUUAACUUAUGGACUGCCUUAGGAACUGUAUUACUUGAGUCGGCUAGGGGGAGGCGGAUUCCUGGUGUAGCGGUGAAAUGCGUAGAUAUCAGGAGGAAGGCUCUGGCGAAGCGGCC
rnacentral:rRNA from 1 species